GUGUUGUAAGAAAGGAGAGAAGGUUAGCACUCUCCUUGGCAAGCAUGGGUCUGACAACAGGUAUAUGGUUAAGGCAUUCCCACCUACUCCAUGACAUCUAACCAUCAUUGUUA
ensembl:snRNA